GUUAACAACUUGUAACAAGCUUGAUGGCAUUAUCAGACUUGUAGCAAAGUUGUUCUAACAAGUCUGAUACAGUCAUGAUAUAAAAGAAUGUUACAAGACUGAUCAUGACUGUAUCGAUCGGAGUUUUUGGAACAACCUUGCAACAAGUCUGAUAAUAUCAACAAGGUUGUUACAAGUUGUUAAC